UUUUUUACAUUCACAGCAUGCAGCCAAGAUAGGAAUGUUUACAAGCUGCUUGGUUAUACAGCCACACAGCUCAUAUUCAGAGCUUUCUCAUAUAAUCCAUGCAGUGUAAUUAGCAAACAACAUUUUUUUUUUUUUAUUAUUAUAUCUGUGAAAAUUAUUUUAUAUCUUUAAGUAUUAGUCAGACAUUAAUCACGAGAAUAAUACUUGUGACCUCGAACAUUCAGUUCUUGUCUUUAUUUUCUAUUUUUGCAUUCCUAGACUGUUGCCUUUUGGUAUGUGCUGAUCUGCACAUACACCCUAGACAGUUCCACUUUUUGUUUUCUUCUUUUGCGCCGUUCCUCUAUUCGCACCCACACUGACCUCUCUGUCACCUUUUAUCUGUGAUAUAUAUUCAUGUGUGACACAAUAAAGUUUUGGAACUUUUAUCUGAAAGCUGCUUCGUGUGUUUUCAUUCCCCAAGCGCUUGUAGGAGAGCAGAGAUCGAGAGGAAAGGCUGAAUUCGGGGGUAUCCUGUCUAUUAGACAGAAGGUGAUCCUGUCCAGCAGGCAGAUGAUGAGAUAAUUCCUUACAGUUUUUGGGGGCUCGUCCGGGAUAUAAGUAUUCAGCACCAACCCAUCCCAUUCGUGAGGGGGACAUGGUUUUGAUUAAAUCUCUUAAACCUAAGCCAUUGGGUGAAUAUAAGUACGAUGGGCCAGCAGAAACAGUUGUGAUCACACGCACAGGUGAUAUUAACUAAUAUUUUUCCUCAGUGGAUCCAUGCUACCAGAGUCAAGAAAUGUCCCAAUUUUUUAGGAGACAUCUAUCGGUUCCUGUUUCCCUCUAUCACCAUGCACCGCGACUCCUCAGACCUUCUGGGGCUGACUCUUUGGCCAUACUCAACACUGGACGGUGUGUGAGAAGAAACUGCAGGGAACGGAGAAACAGCCUCUCAUCAUGCAAAAAAGAGCACAGCAAGUGACCAGUAUGGCUGUCCAUCUCUCCCUCAUCCUGGUGAUUGACAGCUUUGGGGCAGGGGUUCCCGCCCAGGCUCAUCCACACAACACCUUCUGGCAAUACGCCAACUGGACGGCCCGGCAGUACAAACAAUCAUUUACCCAUCUGCUUUCCGGUUAUCAACCUGUCCCUCGUGUUUCUGAAUAUUAUUCGAUUCCUAUGCGACAUGUUUGUUUUAUAUUAUGUUUAUCCAUUCUUGUUUAUCAUGGAUAAAAGAGGGGAAUUGUGAGAAUUAUUUUAUAUCUUUAAGUAUUAGUCAGACAUUAAUCACGAGAAUAAUACUUGUUACCUCGAACAUUCAGUUCUUGUCUUUAUUUUCUAUUUUUGCAUACCUAGACUGUUGCCUUUUGGUAUGUGCUGAUCUGCACAUACACCCUAGACAGUUCCUCUUUCUGUUUUCUUCUUUUGCGCCGUUCCUCUAUUCGCACCCACACUGACCUCUAUGAAAUGCUGCCUUGUGUGUUUUCAUUCUCCAAGCGCUUGUAGGAGAGCAGAGAUCGAGAGGAAAGGCUGAAUUUGGGGGUAUCCUGUCUAUACGACAGAAGGUGAUCCUGUCCAGCGGGCAGAUGAUGAGAUAAUUCCUUACAAUAUCUCAUACUUAUUUUAUUACGAUACAGUGCAAAACCUCGAUACUCGCAGGGGUUUUGAGGUUUUACCCCUUAACUUUGAUGGUUCCUUUUUCAAGGGGAAUUAUACAUGUACUGUACUGUUUUGUGAAUUAUUUGUCAUAAAUGUGUUUUUUUUCCCACUUUAAAUAAAUAAUACAAUAAUAAAAUAGCUUUUCAAACA